UUGAGCCUCAAGAAGAACAUGAAACCUGCUCUAUAUAACAUGACGUGGACCGAUGUCGGUGUAAUUGAUCGGUUUGUUCUGUUUUAAGAAAAGGAAACACCACACUACGGCAUAAUUUCAUUUUUGCCCCGCGGAGAGGAGGAUGGUGGCCGGGUAGUUACAACUUCGGACUCGCUGCUGUUCCUUGGCACGCGCACUGAUCCAGUUGGUGAGGGCAGCAGUAGCAGGGUUCUGAUCCUGAGGAGAUGACGGAGGUGGUAGAGCCCAAGCUGGACUUUGCAUCCUCGGGUCGCUCGGGGAGAAGGAACGCCCUACCUGACAUCCUGGGGUCACCGGCUGGGGUAAACCCCACUGACCUGCCACUCAAAUUGUCUGAGCUCAACCUCACAGAUGGUCCGGAAGAAGCCCAGUCUCCCACUGCGGAGGAGGCCCCACCACCUACAGAGAGCUCUGAGAGGAAUGAGGGAUCAUAAGGCUGCCUGGUGGGGGGGCCUAACUAGCCCUGAUGUUUACCUCCUGUGAAGCUGAUGAGAACUGUAGAAGGGGGAUGGAUGGGUAGGACGAUACAGAAGGACCCAUGAAGGAGUGAUGGGCCUGUUUUGAACAGCAGCUGAGCUGCAGAGAGAAGGAUGGAAGGAUGGACAGGGAACUGUCUAUCACACAAUCUGAAAAGACUCUUAAGAAAAGCGUUGGUGUGUGUGUGGGUGGACAGAUCCUCUACUCCAACACACUGCCAUGAGAAACAAAGGAUGUAUGCUGAUUAUAUACUGUUGUACACUACACAUAUUUUUAUGAUUCAAUCAAGACUCUAAAAAGAAAUUCAUCAAUGGAGAAGUCGCAAAUGGAAAAAAUGUAAGAUUUACCAUUUCCUGCUGGCGUCUAUAUUACGUUUGGCCACUGAUUUAACACAGCCAAUCAUGUGGGACGAUGGGCGGAUCCUAGUGGCCUAUAGUGGUUCUGAGCUUUUUGAUUGGUCUGGAAGAGAUAAAGUAAAAAUGUAUUAUAAUGUACUGGAUGUGUAUGAAGAACGAGGCGAGAGUGAGUUAACUGUAUAACAAGGGGCAGCUGGCUUCCUCUUUCGGGGUAUCACACAGACGUUUGUAAUCAUGAAUUCAGAUCUGAGACUUUAAUACGGAUGGCAGUGUGGUAUGUAGAGCAUAUGUGUGUUUUUAAACGUUGUUAGAAUGGUUUUAAUGACAACCAAUGGGGCUGUAAAGCUAAUGGAUCGAGAUGAUUGAUGUGAUUGUGACCUUAAGUGUUGAUAUGUGUUUAUUUGCAAAGGUUAGCUAGACACUAAAGCUAACAUUAUGAGUAUCCAAUCCCUAUCUUUUAAACAUUCCUGAAAUGAACCUAAAAUGGUUUCUCACUGCCAACCAUGUACUGUUAAAGCACUCCUCUGCUGUUGGCGCAUUUCCAUACAGGAUUUACCUCUGUGUAGGCUCAGACUUUUAUUUUUCCAUCUACGCGGGCCGGCACCCGUGUCUCACUGGGCCAUGGCUCCGGCAGACCAGGUCUCACUUGAGGCCAAAGCCAGGCCGCUGGUACUUUUCAGCUGGCAAUUACAUAACAAACUGUGAACAUUAACACCUUCUCACAAAGCAACUGUUUUGAAUAUGCAGAGGCUGUUGAUUCUGCUCUUCACUGUCAGCCCUAGCUAUGGAAACAUAAUUUCCCUAGUAUAACAUAAGGGUGUAACUAGUGUAACGGUUGAAAAGCAGCAUGUGAAAACUGCUGUUGUGUUCCUCUAUUCAGCGCAAGGCUGUCUUUAAGUUAAAAGGCUUUAUAUUUUUCCAGACUUCUCUGAAAAUGUUGUGUUCUAUGGGUGUACUCCGAUUUCAGAGCACUCUUGUCUGAGGGUGCCAGAGCGCAGAAUAACUGAUGAAUUUACGAAUGCUCAUCACCCGUUGAAUAUGGGCGGUGUCAGUAAACGCAGGCAAAAAAGCGUGAUUAAAUUGUUGCCAGCAGCACAGUUAGUCACCAACGCUCUGGAUGACAUGAAAACAGCCUAACAAGCUCUGCUAGAGCGAGUAAAAUGGUCAGAGUGAGGUGUUCUCUCAUUUUUGUCUGGAAGUAGCUAGCAAGGUAGUCAACGUUAACCAGCUAGCUUGGGUGCUUGACUGCCGUUGUGAGGUCAGAAUGCUCAGAUCAACCCUACUCCUCGGCCAGAGCGUCCAG